UACCAGCACCCCGAGUGGUCGGGGCGAUUAUUGGGCCUAAAGCAUCCGUAGCCGGUUCUGCAAGUCCCCCGUUAAAUCCAGCUGCUCAACAGAUGGGCCGCGGAGGAUACUCCAGAGCUAGGAGGCAGGAGAGGCAAGCGGUACUCAGUGGGUAGGGGUAAAAUCCGUUGAUCCAUUGAAGACCACCAGUGGCGAAGGCGGCUUGCCAGAAUGCGCUCGACGGUGAGGGAUGAAAGCUGGGGGAGCAAACCGG
rnacentral:rRNA from 1 species